AAAUUUGUAAUGUUUUGGAGAUCGAAGGCGCCGGUUACUUCGUGUCAUGAAAGGGCAUUUUUGUUCACAAAUACCCGCUUAUUUUACGUUAUAGCGACUGGUUAGUUUUGGAAAUUUAUAACUCAAUGGACGGGAGGAAAAGGAUUGCGUAGUAAAGAGAAAAAUACGUGCAGUCGUUGACUUUUACUGUGAUGUUUAUAUUUGUGGUGAAAGACGGCCGGAAAUUUCGCUACAUGAUACCAUCGCUGCACUGGAUAAUAAAAAAAUUCUGCUGGAAAUUCGACAAUGGAUAAAGAGACAACGCUUGAAUAAAAAAACUGGUAAUGUCUGCGACUGCUUUAUAAUGAAUUUUAUAUAUACUUCGGUAGAGUCAGUAUAGGCAGUUGUGCCUAGCGUUGGUUUAUAUAUCUCGUUUCCUUCCCAUUUCACAGCUCUACGUAAAUCACAUGCCUAUAUUAAGUAGUUUUUCUUUGUUAGAAUUUAAUAUACGACUUUGGAACAAAUUAAUGUAAUUAAAGAUGCUGUAUUUAAAAGUCCGUAAAUGUAAUUAUGUAAACAAACGCUUUGUUUACAUUUUGAACUGCUAUAUAGCGUAUAUUUGUAAAAUAUGAUAUACUAACUGAAUAUCUAAUACUUUUCUGGUUCGCUAUGCAUGUAAAUGAAUAUAAACUCUACGUUUCAAUUCAAAAAAGUUCGAAAGACGAAAGUUUGAAAAUUUGGGCACUGUUUACAUAUAUCUGUGGGACUUCCCCUUCGUACAUUAUAUUUUUAUUUCUUGCUAUGUAAAUUUUUGGCUUGUUAUGUUUCAAAUAUCUAAUAUUAAAUGAUAAUUUAAAGUCACCAAACAUGAAAAAAUACUUUUCUUUAUGUAAACUCUAUUCUGUGCAUCAGUUCUGCUUAUGACCAGAACUGGAGCAGAACUGAUGCACUUUAUUUAUUUAUUUAUUCUCGUAUUUAUUUAUUUAAUGUAUUUAUUUAUAUUAUGCAUUCAUGCCAGGAUCACCACAACAGUACCAAUUACUGUGGGCCCUUUAAAUAGGUAAUAAAACACAACGAAAACUUCGAGGCAUUUUAUAUUUAACUUUGAGGCAUUUCAACCGAGACGAGUUGGUUUUUGUACUAUUUAUUAAGAUUAUGGUAUAUACAACACAAGUUGUAUUGAAUUAAAAUACAAACUAUCAUUACAGUCAAAUCCGGCAUUCCAUCUUCUAUGCUACUGAGGUUCAACAACUUCUAUGAUACUCUAUAAGUUCCAAAUCUGGAUGUAUAAGCUGUUUAUUACUUUUAUUUUAAUUUAAUAUUGCUUUUAUUUAAAGAAUAAAUUAUGAACUGAUCACAUUCAUUUGUCUCAUUCAAUACACUAAUCACACAUACAUGAUAUUAUCAGUAAUUAGAAAUACACACUGAGAUAAUUAUCUAAACAACCUAGCUUACAUCAUAAUAUUGUUUAACCCAUUGAGUCGCAUUGCACCCUGAUGCACCCUACUUUAGUAUUUUACUCUAACGCCAGACUAUUUUACUCGUCAAGGGGAGAGUGCUGGCACUUAAUGGGUUAACUGGCCUAUCUGCCCAUGUGUCUAGUUAACCCAUUGAGUCGCAUUGCACCCUGAUGCACCCUACUUUAGUAUUUUCUCUAACGCCAGACGAUUUUACUCGUCAAGGGGAGAGCGCUGGCGCUUAAUGGGUUAAUUCACUUUAAUUUAUUAAAUGUGUUUGACCCUAAUUUCAGGGUCUUGGCUUGGAUUUGAGAUUUUGGGAGUGCUGCCUUGUAAAUUUCAGAGUGUGUACUAGCCAAUAGACCUUUUUAAGAAGUCUGCCUUUUGACAUAGUUUGCAGAUAAAUACGACCAUUUGGCCAAUCAGGCAAAUUUGUGCAGGGUUUUUCUUUAGCCGCAAACUAGUACGUCACAAGGCAGACUUACCCUGAAUACCCCAAUGCACGGUUUCAGUAAUGCUUGCCAACAAUAGACUAUGUCUGUGGUUCUAUGAGAUACAACCAAAUACAAGGCCAACAUAUGCACACACAUCUAUGUCAUUCUGACAUUAAAAGGACUUAAUCACUUAUAUUAUAAUGUUGGGCAAAAACUAUAGACAUGCAUGCACCUGACACAAAGACAUCACAGAAUUAACCUCCUGCAAACUAGAUUUUACACUGUUUUUUUUUAAAGAAAUAAAUAGAAGCAUAUUCUGACUGUUGUAAGUAGCACUACAUUGUAUUUUAUGAACCUACACAGUUUUACACAAAUAAUCAAGCCACAUUCUUUUUAUCUUCCUGUGUUUUUCCAGUUCUGGUCACGGUCUUCUAGCUGCGACCCUGCCUACUUUAUUAUUUCACUCUGUAUGUAAAUUUCCACUUGAUAAUUUCCAUCUACCAAAGUAACCAGACACUUGGUUGAGAUGGCAACAAAAUCUUGAUAUACAGGGUGUAUAAAAAAAAGGUAAUUGAACUUCAGCACGCUAUUAUAUGUGAAUUACUCGGCAUAUGAACAAUUGGUUUUCAUAUUCGGAAAGAUCAGACUUUUAGCUAUUGAAUGACAUGCUUUUCAUGCCAAGAGGAGAAAAAAUAAGCAUGUACGAGGCCGAUUAAAAAUGUUAGUCAAAAUCACAUAUUUUCACCUCUGUGCCCAAUUAAAACAAUGCAUAACAAAAGAAAAAGCAAUUAAUUAAUCACGAACGUGUCGUAGCUUAGCUAAGAUUUACUCCUACUUAAUAAUAAUUAUGAAUAUGUGCGUAGUUCAAUGAAGUGAAAUUCAUCAACUUAAGUACCAAAGGGGGUUCAUUUUAAAUGGUUUUAGACCCAACUCUCAACGGUGAAAAUAUGCGAUUCUGACUAACAUUUUUUAUCGGAUUCGUAUUUGCUCAUUUUUUAUCCAUUUGGCAUGAAUUAAGAUAUCAUUCAACAGCUAAAAGCAUGAUCUUUCGAAUGUGAAAAAAUCCCAUUACCUUUUUUUUAUACACCCUGUAUAUCCACUGAUUUAUCUACUAUCGCUGGAUGACUGUGCAAUCUUCUCCCCUUAAUAAGUAAAAUCACCUGCCAUUAGUCAUAAUACAAUAAUAAAGUUGGGAGCAUUGCAGUUAAUCAGUUAAUCUGAUUCAUCUUUAGGCAACAGCAAUUCAACUCCUGUAUGUAAUAAAAAAAAUACCAAUGUGUACAAGCCAAUCACGUCCAACCGCUCCAACGUAUCGUCAUUUUGGGAUGUUGUAAAAAAUAGUUAAGUUGGAUUUGCAGAUGAAGUACUUGAAAAGGUUAGUUUCAAUUAGUCGUGUAUUGUUAGCACUAUAUUAUACAAGAAUGAUAUGAACAUUUUCUUUCAAUGGGGUCCACCUUUCCAAUUUCACCCAAAUUGGUCAAAGCUGUUUUUUGUUUCAAUUGAAAGUUAUUGUUUUGAUAAGAGGAAUUGUUUCCGACAAUUUUCAAAAAAGUUUGGACUAGUUUCGAAAAAUUUCCUGCACGGUUCCCCUCUAAGCCUAGGGUAACUGUUGUGCCUCCUUUGCAUUUGACCAAAACAUUUUAAUUAAUAAACAUGUUUUUUUUGAUGGAAAGUAAUUCUUUUGAUGAGAGGAAACUUGAGGUUUUCGACAAUUUUCAGAAAGUUUGGACCAGUAGUUUGAGGCAGUUUUUGAUUUUUAAAAAUAUUUCCUGUGUCCCCCCUUUGCAUUUUACUGAAAAUUUUUAACCCAUUGAGCUGCAAUGCGCCCCAGUCUAACACCAGACGCAGCAUUGUCUGCAGCUGUAAUGGAUUAACCAGAAUAAUAUCCGACAAUGUCUCUAGUUAAUCCAUUGAGCCGCAAUGCCCCCGAGUGCACCCUUACUUAUGUCUUUUAUUUGUCUAACGCCCGGAGAUUUUACUUGACAAUGGGGAAACUGCGCAGCUAUGCACAAAACCCAUACAAAAGAUAUAUGAAAGGGUUCUCAAGACAUUAUUUUGCUAAAUACAGAGUGUCCCCCAAAAGAAUGUUAGAAUUUUAAUAGCCUGCAUACUCUGUUGAAUUGUAUGCAUGAAGAAACUGUUAAUUAGAAGAAGCUGUUUAAAAUUCCCAAAAGCAGAAAAUCGUAUGCUUUACAAACCUCAAAAACCGUAUGCUUUACGCUGUUUGUGUUCAGCUUAGUGCUUGGGCAAUCAAAUUCUAACAAUACGGGACACCCUGUAUAUCAUUUUGUUGAACUAAAUAUAUUAAUGAACUGGCCUAUCAUAGCGUGUGUAUUAAGCUUUUGAGUAAUAGCCAAUUGCGUUUGAAUACAGAAAUCCAUGCAAUUCAAAAGGCUAGUAAUUCUUUUGAUUAGAGGAAAUGUUUUCGUCAAUUUUCAGAAAGUUUGAACUAGUCUGAGGCAGUUUAUGAACUUUUGAAAAAUUUCCUGUGGGUUCCCUCUUUGCUGCGCCUUAGGCAAGGUCAGGUUUUAAGUGCAUGGUAAUGGCGACCCUACUUUUUUAUUUUACUCUGUCUGAUGGCAGAUGGUUUUACUUGUCAAUUGGAGAGUGCUGACACUCAAUGGGUUAAUCUGCCCAUGCAUCUUGUUUUUAACUCUUUAUUAACCCAUUGAGUUGCAUUGCACCCUGAUGCGCCCUACUUUAGUAUUUUACUCUGUCUAACGCCAGAGUAUUUUACUCUGUCUAACGCCAGACGAUUUUACUCGUCAAGGGGAGAGCGCUGGCACUUAAUGGGUAAUUAACUGGCCUAUCUGCCCAUGUGUCUAGUUAACCCAUUGAGUUGCAUAUAUUGCACCCUGAUGCACCCUACUUUAGUAUUGUACUCUGUCUAACGCCAGACGAUUUUACUUGUCAAGGGGAGAGCGCUGGCACUUAAUGGGUUAACUGGCCUAUCUGCCCAUGUGUCUAGUUAACCCAUUGAGUGGCGAUGCACCCUACUUUAGUAUUUUACUCUGUCUAACACCAGACGAUUUUACUUGUCAAGGGCAGAGCGUUGGCGCUUAAUGGGUUAAGUUAUAGUUUCAUCUGUACGUGCUCAAAUUAAUUUGGAAAAUGUAUACUUAUUACCCCUAUAUUGAUCAAAUUUUACCCUAAAUCACUCCAAACAAAACAUUGAAAAUUUCGUACAAAAUUUGAAAAUUUUGUACAAAAUUUGAAAAUUUCGAUGAAAUAUGAAGAGGGGCCACAGGCAUCCUCUCACGUUUUCAAACCAUUGAUUCAAUCUAAAGUAUGUCAUAUGAACUGAAUAUAAUGUUUUCUUUUCCAGGCAAGACAGACCAAGGUGGAUAAUGUUUCGACGCUUUCCACUAACCGUGAUGAAAGUGACAUGUUUUCUAAGAACAGAUUGGGGCAUGGCAAGAACAGAAUUAAGCUUUAAUCAUUCAGACAUUAUGAGAAGCUCUAAGAAUGUGAACAUAUAAGAUAAUGAAUGGACUCGUCUAUCCAUCUGAGGCAUGGAGAACUAAAACCAAACACACUUUACUAAAUCAGGUAUUAUACUAUACAAACUAUAACUUUCUUUCUGUAUAUGAUAAUAAAUAUUCACCAUAAUUUAAAUAAAAAAGUGAGAAAAUCAGUCAUUGGAUUCUGAGGCUCUCUUGAUCCUUUUAAGCAACAAUGCGUCCUGAUUGAUGCCCCAUAUUAUU
rnacentral:lncRNA from 1 species